UCUCGCCUAGAAAGGGAGUGAUGGCUCCUCCUCGCCAGCUAAUUUCUGAGGGAACUGCUCCUCUAAAACUCAAGUUGUAGGACAUUCCUGCAACUUUGUCUGCUUAUGGCAUGCGUUCUCUUCCUCUCUCUACAAUUUUUUAGCUGCAAGUGUUUAGCUUAACACAAAAAUACUUGCACUUUGUUGUUCAAAGAAUCUAUGAUAAAUUGUAACAUAUUGUUUGAGUAAUACUUUUGUGAGACCCUGGAACUGGGUCCGGUCCACUUGACCGGCCUAGUCCCAACACUUGCACGUGAGGCAGCAACGGGAUGGAUUCUUUCCAUCCCGAAGAAGAAGGAGGAGCCCUGUUUUAGGGCUUCCUUCUCCUUCUUCUUCUCCUUUGAGCCCACCGAAGGAGAGCCGCCGCACGCAAAGGGGGGAGGGUCUUCUUCGUGUGGCCACCGAGAGAGAGGAAGAGAGGGAGAGAGAGAGAGAGAGAGAGAGAGAGG
rnacentral:lncRNA from 1 species